rnacentral:lncRNA from 1 species
CAAAACCCAAAAUUAAAGGGUCAGAUCUCUCAAAUCCGCCCCUCCCUCAAAAUCACUCUCUGAAGCCGUUCAUCUCCCCCAAAUCCUAUGCUUUCCGAAGGUGUAUGAAGCCGUUCUCUUUUGCGAAGCUCUUUCAUUUCAAGUAAGGCUAUAAUUUUUUUUCUUAUUUUUGUAUAAAAUAGAAUUUGAAUCUAUGAAUAUCUUGGGUCUCCUUUAUUUUCCCAAAUGUGAAUGAAUAGUUAGGAAUUUUGUUGCCUUGUUUCAAAAUUGUGUUUUUGCUUUAUAUGUUUUUAGACUUUCUUAUUGAUUUCUUCCAUCUUCAUUUGAAUUACAGAUUCAGUCUUGUGCCUCUAUAUAUUUUGUGUUUUUUGCAUAUUUGAUACUUUUUGCUUGUAUAUGAUCUAAGUUAAAUUUCUUCCAAAUAUAGAAAGCUAUUAGUUUUUUUUUUGUCAUAAGUUAGCAAAUAAUGAAUAGGAAUUUAUUAACAAUCCAUGGUUUUUGAAACUUAAGUAAAAUUUUGAACUUCAGUAAACUUUUCUACUUCAACUGACAAAGCUUUGAACUACAACACAAUUUGUUGGAAUUGUUCCAUGUCUUAGAAAUAUUUUUGUUCAAAACAUUUUUCUGUGUUAAAAGAAUGAUUAAAUGUUAAUAGCUUUUAAAAUAGUACUAGUAAUUAAUAUUUAGUAACAAGUUUAAAAGAGGCUAUGGACGGCUUUAGAAGAGGUAAAUGUAGAACGAAGACGUAUUGAGGGAUGUGAUUAGACAAGACAUAACACAGUCUCAACAUACUAAGUACAUGACUUUAGAUAGGAGGGUGUGGAUGACACAGAGUAAGAUAGAAGUUUAGUAGGUAAAAAUACGUCGUCUCACUGUUCGUUCUUAUUAAAAAUCAAGUAUUGUUUAACUUUCUUGUCCUUCGAUUUCUAUUACUAUAUGUUGAUUUUUUGUACCUCAAUUAUCGCAGGAAACUAGAGAAAAUAAAAACUUUACCUUUGAAUUAGGGGUAAGGCAUCUUUAUGUAUUGCAUAUUCUUCUUAACUACGGGAUUGAGCUAAAAUACAUGCUUGAAACUACACUUUCGGCAAUUCCUUUGCUACCAUGGCAAACAGGUCCAAUUUUUGCUUAUUAUUUGAUUUGAUUGAUUUGUCAUAUUUUAAUGAUCUCUUCAUUUUGUAGGAGAUAACACCACAGCUGUUUGCUCGUCUAAGUUUCCACCUGUAACCAGUAGUUAGAAAACAAUCGGAGACCUUACUAGUAAAGCUGGCUAAGUUAUCUCCUAGGUCCGUUGUCUAUCCAACUUUAGUUGAUGCAAACUCUUAAGAAAGAGAACCUUCUGGGGAGCUUUAGAAAAUACUGGCUUGUUUGGUAAAAUCUUUCUUUACCAUUAAAUCUGCUUAAUUGUCUUUAUGAUAUAGAGAGAAUUUUUUCAUGCCAUUAUAUUUUCAAUUCAAGUAUGUUAGAUGGGAUCAAUUAGCUUUUUAAUUUGAGUAUAGUUCACUGUAGUUUAUCUUGGUUCUGUUUUCUGUCUACUUUCUUGUGGUGAGACUUCUGUAGCUAAGUGAAAAAUGUUCAAAGGGAUUUUCCAACAUUACGUUGAUUUAGUCUUUAUUAUCAUUUGAAUUCCAAAUAGUGCUAUUUGAACUUAUUUUACCUUUUGGGCAUUCAUGACAGUUUCUGUUCCUUCUUCUGGUAGAGAAUUUAUUAACCCGUUAAAGUAUACCAUUGAACCAUGAUAGCUUUCUGGAAUUACUCUUUUCAACUUUCGAAAAAAAAAUUAUUGGUAGGUUAUGAGAGCACGUCCUUUCUACUUGUAAGCAAUUAGGAUAAAUUGAUUCAUGUUAGAGUCAAGUUAUAUUGGUUUAUUAUAUCCUUUUUCUCAAGGGUAGUGGAUCAGCAUUAUGCAUGAAAUUAAAGCUAGGUGACUAUACAACUUUCUGCAAAAUGACAUCCCCCUACCUCCCCCUCACACACAAAAUAAAUAAAUGUUGUGCUAGUUGCAGAGUGUCUUUUUUAUGCCUUCUCUUUUCUGUUGUUCUCCUUUUUUAUCUCUGAUUUGCUAGUUUAGACAUAUAUUUUGAAAUAAUUUAUCCCACAAUCUUACAUAGGUCUAAAAUGAUACUUUCUUCUUCUUCUUCUUUGAUGCAUUAGUUUUUUAGAUUUAUGUAGAUAAAAUCAUUUCGAAUUUGGUUAUAUUGACUCAAAUCUGUUAUGACAACAAAAAAAUAAUUACAUCUUUCUAUGAAUUGUAGAAUUAGCUGCUUCCUAAGUUCAGGAUGUCCAGUUGAUGAUAACAGAGCUUGAAAAUGUAAGUCCUCUGGGAGGAAUUAUGGCUCAGCACAUUUCAAGAUCUUCAUGCAGGUAGCUGUUACUUUUUCAUAUAUAGUAUGCAGGAAUAAAGGCACAAUUCGAUGAAAUACUUGCUUCGGGGGGAUUCCCCCUUGUCCCGGUGAUGUAGUACGCCUUCUUCGACCUCCACAGUCUCUACCUAUUUCACAUAGAGUAUAUGUUCAAUACAGAGAUGUGACUAAGGAUCCCAGCAGUGAUGAAGAUGAUGAGGAUUACUAUGUGGGUAAUAAACUGCUGCGUUGUUAAAGUUGAAUGUUGUCUAGAUAAUCCAAACUAUAUACUUUAUGGUGGUUUAUUUGAAUUCUUAAGUGUUUUUGAAUGCAUUAAAAUUUUAAAGUAGUAUGAAAAAUAGUCUUGUUAAAUAAUUUAUGACUUAUAUGUUUUGUUCGUUCAAUUUCAAGGUAUUUAAAUUUUAUUUUCAUUUAGUGAUUAUUGGAUUAUAUUUACUUAUUUUUGUUGUAGUUUGAUUGAUUGGUGGAAGUUCUUGGAGCUCG